rnacentral:rRNA from 1 species
UAAUNCGGGNGGCNGCGGUGGGGAAUAUUGCACAAUGGGCGCAAGCCUGAUGCAGCCAUGCCGCGUGUGUGAAGAAGGCCUUCGGGUUGUAAAGCACUUUCAGUCGUGAGGAAGGUGGUGUAGUUAAUAGCUGCAUUAUUUGACGUUAGCGACAGAAGAAGCACCGGCUAACUCCGUGCCAGCAGCCGCGGUAAUACGGAGGGUGCGAGCGUUAAUCGGAAUUACUGGGCGUAAAGCGCAUGCAGGUGGUUUGUUAAGUCAAAUGUGAAAGCCCGGGGCUCAACCUCGGAAUAGCAUUUGAAACUGGCAGACUAGAGUACUGUAGAGGGGGGUAGAAUUUCAGGUGUACCGGUGAAAUGCGUAAAGAUCUGAAGGAAUACCGGUGGCGAAGGCGGCCCCCUGGACAGAUACUGACACUCAGAUGCGAAAGCGUGGGGAGCAAACAGGAUUAGAUACCCUGGUAGUCCCCGCCCUAAACGAUGUCUACUUGGAGGUUGUGGC